rnacentral:rRNA from 1 species
AUGAACGCUGGCGGCGUGCCUAAUACAUGCACGUCGAGCGAACGGACGAGAAGCUUGCUUCUCUGAUGUUAGCGGCGGACGGGUGAGUAACACGUGGAUAACCUACCUAUAAGACUGGGAUAACUUCGGGAAACCGGAGCUAAUACCGGAUAAUAUUUUGAACCGCAUGGUUCAAAAGUGAAAGACGGUCUUGCUGUCACUUAUAGAUGGAUCCGCGCUGCAUUAGCUAGUUGGUAAGGUAACGGCUUACCAAGGCAACGAUGCAUAGCCGACCUGAGAGGGUGACCGGCCACACUGGAACUGAGACACGGUCCAGACUCCUACGGGAGGCAGCAGUAGGGAAUCUUCCGCAAUGGGCGAAAGCCUGACGGAGCAACGCCGCGUGAGUGAUGAAGGUCUUCGGAUCGUAAAACUCUGUUAUUAGGGAAGAACAUAUGUGUAAGUAACUGUGCACAUCUUGACGGUACCUAAUCAGAAAGCCACGGCUAACUACGUG